rnacentral:lncRNA from 1 species
UUCAAACCUUUUUCUCUUCAUCUUUUCUAGCCUAAAUUUGUGUUCAUCAAGAAACACCUCCACCGGAGGUGUUUAUUGGCGAGUUUACCGGCGAGAAAAGAGGCAGCAGCCUCUCGAAAUCCUUCCCUGAUUAACCACCCUUCGAGAUAGCCAAACACCCUCCCUGGAUCUAUCUUGUUGCCGCCAAUCAUUUCCCUCAAGAGCUGCUGCAAAAACAGGAAGGAAAGUGGGCGAGAAAGCUGCCGGAAACAUCCCCCAACAACCCAUUUUUUGUCGACAGCCCUGUAGUGUUUUGGGUGAGUUUAUUCCACCUUAAAAGCCUGAAAUACUUGCUGUUUUGAACACCCUUGUGAAGUUUGAUAAUCUGAAACUAGAUUCGUUUAUUGUUGGUGAAGGUGUCGGGUCUUGAACGAAGCACAAACCUCACCAAAUCCUCCUUUCUAAACUCGAGAAUCACGCUCCAAAUGUGAGUUUUUAUGGCCCCGUUUUUACAUUUUUACUUGUUUGGGGGGAGAUACAUACUUCAGUAUUUUGAUAUAAUAUGAUGGCUAAAAAGUUUAUAUGUUACAUGCAUGCAUAGUUAAUACUACAUACAAAGACUAUUAAAGUCUAUGUUUAUUAUAAAUACUAUUUUUACAAAUAAAGUUUGUUAAAAAGGUGGUGAUUAGUAAUUGAUAUAUGCAAGAAUUUUAUAAAAUGUUAGACUUAUUUACAAGCACUUGUGUAAACAAAAAUGUUAGAUAAGAGUAAUCUAGUGUUAUAUUAUUUGUCGGAACAAAUAAAAAUAUCAUUAAGAACUUACGUCAAAAUUUUGAUAGAUGAACAUUUUUAACUUGUCAUGAUAGGUAUAACCAUAUGACUUAUGUAUAUAGGGGCAUUAAACUUAUUUUUCAUCAAGUAUUAAUAUUAAAUAAUUAAACGGGAUGAUAAAAUAAAAAUAUACAAAUGAAUUAUAAAAAGAUAUCAAGAGUAUGAGAAUAAACCACAAGUAGUUAUAUACUAUGGUAUAAUAUGAAAUCUCGCCGAUAAAUAAUGUGUAUGUAUUUUUAAGACUAAAGUUUACUUACAAACGAAAUUAAUAUGUUUUCAACACUAAGUGAAUAUUAAAAAUACAAAAAUAUUCGAUUAAAGCGACAACCGGUUAACUGACGUAACAUCGACAUGUAUGAAGUACUCGACUACGCUAACGGAACGUCCUUCCUAUCGGAUGGUAGAUUGAAAAUACUUGAGUUACCACCGUCUCAUUAUUCGAACGCUAAGUUAAAUUUAAUAUUUAACUAAAUGCACUAGCUAAAAAUAAGAUCUUAAUAAUUUAAGGUAUGCAUUGGUGAUCAUUGGAAGCGACGAAUUCUAUGAAUUAAGGAAUUGUCGUCAUGGAUUGUGCGGAUUGUGUAUCCCGUGUGUGCUUGUGAGAGGAUUUUAUCGAAAGAGGUGAAAGAGAAUUUUAUGAUGUUGUGUUUUUCCUUCGUAAGGAUCAAAUCCUGGAAUUGACACCUAGCUCUAUAACCGUUAAUCAAUGAGGGAUCAUAUACUGUAGAUCUAUGUACACGACAUAGAUUUAUAAUAAAGAACUUUGGUGUAGAUCUAUUCUUAUGGGAAGAUUUAUGCGAAUCGUAUUUUUCCGUCUGUGGUUGCUAGCUACAACUUCGUAUGACGAGGCAACAGGCGUCAAGUGUUUCUUUCUUCGUUACUAUAUGACUGCUUUUAAACGUUAGUAAUGAUCUCGAUUCCUCCAUUUUAUAUUAUAUUGUGCCUGUGUGGCUUGCGGAGGAGCGACAUAUAGUGUCGGUUAUAGGCAUAUUGAUAUAUUGAAUACUUUUAUUCGAAGGAGUAUAGAUCUAGAUUGAAUCAAUUCUCCCAAUUUGGGGUCGAGAGUGUCGAGUGUAUAGGGUGUUAUCUACCUCUCCUUGCGACAUUACUCUUCGUAAUCGGACAAGAUCCAAAUAAUAAAAAUUGUUAUGAGGAUGACUAAUCCUUAUCAUUAAAGAGUGUUUGAAUAAUAAAAUAUGCGUCAUAAUUUACCAGUUUUUUUUUGGAAAAAUUAUUUUGGAUUAUAAAUUUUUCAGAGUCAAAAGAAAACCUAUAAAGCUCAACAACAUUAUUGUUGACGUAUUUCCAAAAUGUAUGUAUCUCUAGGUGUUCAUGGUGGCCGGAAGAACUCUCAUCCCGUGUGAGGAUGAAGGAAUUGACGUUGAAAAUAAACUGUCGGCUCUAUAGUAGCCUUUUGUUUCUUUUAUGUUGUAAGAAAUCAAAACCCGCGUAUAACGCUUAUGGAUUAUUAAAUGGUGUAUUUUGUCAUACUCAGGCUUCGGAAGAAUGUAAUAUCGUAUAAAUUCUGUUAUUAUUUCAUUAUAUGUUGUUGCCUAUGAGCCAAACGUUUAAGUCGCAACCCCGGCGUUUCCGUCGUUGGUCGGGGUGUGACAGAUUGGUAUCAGAGCUAACGACUAUAGCGAAUUAGUACUUUCCUCAAAAGAGAAAAACUAUAGUCUACGAGCUUACUCUAAUAGGUUCAAGUAUUCCAAAACCUAUAUCAUACCCGAUGACUAUUUGUAUGCUAUGUAUAUUAUCUGUGUAUGUGUUUAUAUGUUUUCCGAGCUCAACUCAAUGAUUGGGCGGGGCCCUGAUGACCGGGCGGGGCCCAUUGUAUGUUUACUAUAUGUUUGGUAUGUGGUAUUCGGGGAACUUACUAAGUUUUGUGCUUACGGUUUUCUGUUUAUGUUUCAGGUACUCCAGUUUUCAAAUGAAAGAGCUCGGGACAAUCGCAGCGCAUACACCCGUAUUUUUCCGCAAUAUGCGAUCUUUGGGAGCGAACACUGAUAAUUGUUUUAUUUGGAACGUUUUUAAAUGUUUUGUCAAAGUUAAAAUAGUGUUUUGAUUAUAAUAAAAAUGAAAGCUUUAGCCUGGA